GAUUCAAGUUGGGCAAUUGCUACUCUUUUGUAAUAAGCUGGAGUAGAGGAAAGUCCGAACACCAAGGACAGAGUGCCGGGUAACGCCCGGGGAUUUAUUAUGAAAAUAAUAAAUUACGGAAAGUGCCACAGAAAAUAAACUUUCUUGCGAUAGCAGGAUAAAGGUGAAAAGGCAGGGUAAGAGCCUACCGCUUUGAUAGUAAUAUCAGAGGUCUCUUUUUAGAGAGUUCCUAAAUAUAGGAAUCACGGUAAACCCCACUUGGUGCAAGGUUAAGUAGAAAAUUUUACAAUAUUGAUUUGUAAGAGGGUGUUCUCCCAAUAUUUUCGGGUAAACCGCUUGAGUUCCAAAGUAAUUUGGAACCUAGAUAAAUAAUUGCCGUUCGUUUUUCUUCUUGAAGAAUACGAAUUACAGAAUUCGGCUUAUAGACUUGAAUUGAAA
rnacentral:RNase_P_RNA from 1 species